rnacentral:rRNA from 1 species
CCUACGGGUGGCAGCAGUGAGGAAUAUUGGUCAAUGGACGAGAGUCUGAACCAGCCAAGUAGCGUGAAGGAUGACUGCCCUAUGGGUUGUAAACUUCUUUUAUAAAGGAAUAAAACGAGGCACGUGUGCCUUUUUGCAUGUACUUUAUGAAUAAGGAUCGGCUAACUCCGUGCCAGCAGCCGCGGUAAUACGGAGGAUCCGAGCGUUAUCCGGAUUUAUUGGGUUUAAAGGGAGCGUAGAUGGGUUGUUAAGUCAGUUGUAAAAGUUUGCGGCUCAACCGUAAAAUUGCAAUUGAUACUGGCAGUCUUGAGUACAGUUGAGGUAGGCGGAAUUCGUGGUGUAGCGGUGAAAUGCUUAGAGAUCACGAAGAACCCCGAUUGCGAAGGCAGCUUACUAAACUGUGACUGACAUUGAUGCUCGAAAGUGUGGGUAUCAAACAGGAUUAGAUACCCGAGUAGUC